GAGCUCGAAAGCUGCGUCUAUCGAUAAAAAUGUAUGGUAACGCAUUACAUACAUGCAUUUGAAUUAAAAACGACUAUCAAUAUUAUGUAAUUUAUUUUCUGAAACGCGAAUAUUGUAUGUUUGUGCCUUAAUUAUAUUGUAAACGGUGGCAAUAGCUGUUUUUCUUGCGGAGAUUGUCCGCUCGCGGGACCCCGCCUCCUUUUGAGGAUGAACCAAUCAGAAGACGAUCGCCGUCGGAAAGAUGCUUGUGGUUUGCAGAAUGGAAAGCACCUUGCUGCGGAAAAUAUUUUCACUUCUUCGUGAAAAUCUAACAAGAAAAUUGACCUGUCAAAUACAAGAUACAGAGUGCCAGUCCCACUUUGAUGAAGUAUUAAAAGCAAUGGUUGGAAUUCAUGGAAUUAGGAGAGCUUUAUUAUUUAAACAGGAAACAGAUAUGGAUGAAUGAAGAUUUGUAUCCCUCUUUAAUUCAUCUGAAAACCUGAUGAUUGAGCGGUCUUGCAAAAAAUGUACCUAAGGAGUCAGAUGGGCUAGUGCAUUCAUUUCAAUAAUCUGGACUCAGUACAUGUAACUGUUUAACUUUAAGGCUUUACUCAAUACCUGAGUGUACAUUUCCAGUUACUAUUUACAAUGAUUUAUGUGAAACCUAAAUUUCAUAUUGUUACACUUCUUUGUCACUGGUCAGAUCUCUUGAGAAGAAAAAAAUCUUUGUAACGUUCAAGACAGAAUAAAUGAAAAGGAUCAAGAACUAAUACAACUAUAUGCUUGUAGUACAGAUGUAAAUUUUUAGGAAAUGUUUCAAAUUGAAGCUACACUUUAAAGCUUUCUGAAAAUAUAUUAACCAGGAGACGUAUUAGCUACAAUUUAAUUUUAAGAUGUCAGACACUGGACAUUCUUAGUUGUUUAUUACUCAAUGAAUAGUUAGUUUAUAGCAUAAGUUCAUGAAGUUAUUGUGACCCAAAGUAUCUGUUAUAAUGAUAUUUACUUCAUUUUUAAAAAAUUGCAUGAAUAUUUGUUUAUGAUCAAUGGUUCAGAAAAACAGUGUUUGUUUG